AGCUCCAGUAGCGUAUAUUAAAGUUGUUGCAGUUAAAAAGCUCGUAGUUGGAUUUCUGGCGUGACGCGCCUGGCCCGCCACUAUUUGUGUGUGAGCGCUGGUGCGCGUCUGCCAUCCUUUUACUGAAGAUUAUCUCCCCUUCACUGGGAGAGAUUCUCUGAAGUAAAUCAAUUACUUUGAAAAAAUUAGAGUGUUCAAAGCAGGCUUGUGCUGUGAAUACAUUAGCAUGGAAUAAUAAUUUAGGACUUCGUCUCCUAUUUUAUUGGUUUCUAGGAAUGAAGUAAUGAUUGAUAGGGAUAGUUGGGGGUGCUUGUAUUCAGCGGCCAGAGGUGAAAUUCUCGGAUUCGCUGAAGACAAACUUAUGCGAAAGCAUUCACCAAGGAUGUCCUCUUUAAUCAAG
rnacentral:rRNA from 1 species